rnacentral:rRNA from 1 species
UACGGAGGGGGCUAGCGUUGUUCGGAAUUACUGGGCGUAAAGCGCGCGUAGGCGGACCUGCAAGUCGAACGUGAAAUCCCCGGGCUCAACCCGGGAACUGCGUCCGAUACUGGAAGGCUUGAAUCCGGGAGAGGGAUGCGGAAUUCCAGGUGUAGCGGUGAAAUGCGUAGAUAUCUGGAGGAACACCGGUGGCGAAGGCGGCAUCCUGGACCGGCAUUGACGCUGAGGCGCGAAAGCCAGGGGAGCAAACGGGG